GAUGAACGCUGGCGGCGUGCCUAAUACAUGCAAGUCGAGCGAACAGACGAGGAUCUUGCGCCUCGGACGUUAGCGGCGGACGGGUGAGUAACACGUGGAUAACCUACCUAUAAUACUGGGAUAACUUCGGGAAACCGGAGCUAAUACCGUAUAAUAUAUUGAACCGCGUGGUGCGAUGGUGAGAGACGGUUUUGCGGGCUGGUCUCGAUGGAUCCGCGCCGCAUGAGCUAGUUGUUAAGUUAACGGCUUACCAAGGCGACCAGGCGUAGCCGACCUCAGAGAGUGAUCGCCGACAUGGGAACUGAGCCACGGUCAAGACUACUAAGGGAGGCCGCAGUAGGGAACCUUCCGCAAUGGGCGAAAGCCUGACGCAACAACGCCGCGCGAGUGAUGAAGGUCUCCGGAUCGUAAAACUCUGUUAUUAGGGAAGAACCAAUGUGUAAGUAACUAUGCACGUCUUGACGGUACCUAAUCAGAAAGCCCCGGCUAACUACGUG
rnacentral:rRNA from 1 species